rnacentral:lncRNA from 1 species
CGCCCCCGCCGCCGCGCCUCCUCCUCCCCCUCCUGGCCUGGGUGAAACCCGAGCGCCCCACCCCGCGCCCGACCUCCCUGGGCCCCUCCCACUUCCCCAGACGCGCCCCCCUCGGCGCCCAGGGCGUCCCCCUGCACCCCAAGAGCCCCACUCCUGCGUCCCUAGUGCGAGUGCGCCCGAGUAUUGACUUUCAGGGACUCCCUUCCCUCGCCUCCCGGGGACCUUCUGUGGCUCCCCCGCCCCCCGUCCCGCCGCUCAGACGUGGCUGCUGGAGGGGCGGGGGCGCGGUAUAAAGGACCAGAGGCAGCGGGGGCCGGGAUCCGAGACGUGGCGCGCCCACUCUGCCGGCCUCGGCUCCAGGUGUUUGGAACACCCGUGAUGAUGUCUACAGGUGAUGCUGUGGUCCUCCCCAAAUUCUGACAGAUGAAGAAUCGCCAAGUCGGGAGAGUUCAGGGAGUCAUCAGCCCCUAACGAAGUCCUUGAGCUUCACCAGAAACUCUUUAGGGUUCUUUCCCCCUCAAGAAACACUCACUCCCCGUUUAGCGUUUAGUAGCAGCUGGCAGAGGUGAGCAGGCCAAUUUUAUUCAAAAAGAGCAGCCCAGAAAGUAAGACAAAAUAAGAAGGAAAUAGUUAUGGCACAUCUGAGAAGAGCGUAAAUGGGCACGGUACCAAGUGCGGCUUCCUGGACCUUAAACGGAAGUUACCCGAUCAACCACGUGGGCACCCACUCUCCAGCCCUCCGCCAGUCUGUGCACUGGACACUCCAUCACGUCCCCUCCUCUGAAUUCUGAGCUUCCACCCAAGUCCAUCCAGGGCUGCCUUGAGCUUCUCGUGUCUUGUCAGAGAAACAUGCUUUGCCAUUGCCAGUUAUUCCAUAGAGGUUGAAACAGAGCGACCUGGCCCUCUCCCAACCCAAGUGAGCUCUGCUCACCUCUGAACUCUUGAACUCACUCCACAGGUGAAAACCACCUUUGCCUACCUCGCAGCCAUGUUCCAUGGCUCCAUGUUCCAGGGAGCAGCUGCUUAAAGUCUACCCACUAGGAGCCACAGCGGGAACUCCAGGAGACAACCAGAGCAUGUAUUCAACAAAAAGUUCUCACUUACUUUUUCUUAGAAAAGUUUAGUAAUUCAUCUCACUUUCAGUAACGGCCUAUUAAUAAAAGACGUUGUAUUUUACUCAAGCUGUGUUCCAGAAGACCAAAAUAUUCUAGAAAUCUAGAAGUAUUUUGCCUUCUCUUUAUGGUUAAAUUUCUAGAUAUAUUUUUCUAGCAACCCAGUUUCCUUAAAAUAAAAUCAGUCUGCUCAAAACACCUCAAGUCAUCUUUUUGUAAGUAUGAUUUGGGGAGAAAAAAUGCUAGGUUUAAAAGAUUUUUGGAAUACCUAGAGAACAUGCAGAUGGUUUGUGGCAUGGAGAUAAAGCAUCCAUAUGGUUCCCUAAGUGUUAUUUUCUGACAUUGAGUCUUGUAUAUAUCUUGAGCGUCUGUAAGCAAAGAAGGCUGUACUUUUUUAAAAAGAUAUGUUUGAUACUUAUUAAUCAAUGUCCUCUAUAUUCCUGUCUUUGGAAAUAGAGCUUUGGGGGGAAGUAAAUACCUUAGGAGAUAUAUUCUCAAAAAUAAUUUUCUUCCAACAUAGAUUUAGAAAUACAAAUUAGUCUGUCUUGGUUUAUUCCAUCAUUUACCGGGGAGAUUAACUCAUAAUGACCUUGAGUUCACUGGGAAGAGCAUCUACUAAGUGAAAUUAAACCAGUAGGCAAAGUGUCUCUGGCAGCAAAUCAGUGGGAAGAUGAGCUGUCAAGGAUCCUGUAGCCCAUCCGUCAAAUUGCAUUUCAGAC